CCCUUAGAUGUUCUGGGCUGCACGCGCGCUACACUGGUGCGUUCAGCGAGUUUAGCACCUUAACAGAUAUGUUUGGGUAAUCUUCUGAAAACGCACCGUGAUGGGGAUCGAUUAUUGUAAUUAUUAAUCGUCAACGAGGAAUUCCUAGUAAGUGUGAAUCAUCAGUUCGCGCUGAUUACGUCCCUGCCCUUUGUACACACCGCCCGUCGCUGCUACCGAUUGAGUGGUCCGGUGAAUUAUUCGGACCGGUGGACUGUGGGGAAACCCGCGGCCUGCUGGGAAGUCUUGUGAACCUUAUCACUUAGAGGAAGCAGAAGUCGUAACA
rnacentral:rRNA from 1 species